rnacentral:rRNA from 1 species
AUUGAACGCUGGCGGCAGGCCUAACACAUGCAAGUCGAGCGAGCGGCGGACGGGUGAGUAAUGUAUGGGGACUGCCCGAUAGAGGGGGAUAACUACUGGAAACGGUGGCUAAUACCGCAUACUAUCGGAUAACCCAUAUGGGAUUGGCUAGUAGGUGGGGUAAAGGCUCACCUAGGCGACGAUCUCUAGCCGGUCUGAGAGGAUGAUCGGCCAAACUGGAACUGAGACAGGGCCCAGACUCCUACGGAGGCACCAGUGGGGAAUAUGGCACAGUGGGCGCAGGCCUGAUGAAGCCAUGCCGCGUAUAGGAAGAGGGCCUUAGGGUUGUAAAGUACUUUCAGCGGGGAGGCGUUACCCGCCGAAGAAGCACCGGCUAACUCCGUGCCAGCAGCCGCGGUAAUUC